rnacentral:rRNA from 1 species
AUUGAACGCUGGCGGCAUGCCUUACACAUGCAAGUCGAACGGUAACGGGCCUUCGGGUGCCGACGAGUGGCGGACGGGUGAGUAAUACAACGGAACGUGCCCGAUCGUGGGGGAUAACGAGGCGAAAGCUUUGCUAAUACCGCAUACGAUCUACGGAUGAAAGCAGGGGACCGCAAGGCCUUGCGCGGACGGUGCGGCCGAUGGCAGAUUAGGUAGUUGGUGGGAUAAAAGCUUACCAAGCCGACGAUCUGUAGCUGGUCUGAGAGGAUGAUCAGCCACACUGGGACUGAGACACGGCCCAGACUCCUACGGGAGGCAGCAGUGGGGAAUUUUGGACAAUGGGCGCAAGCCUGAUCCAGCCAUGCCGCGUGCAGGAUGAAGGCCUUCGGGUUGUAAACUGCUUUUGUACGGAACGAAAAGCCUUCUUUUAAUACAGGAGGGUCAUGACGGUACCGUAAGAAUAAGCACCGGCUAACUACGUG